GUGUCAGCAGCCGCGGUAAUACGUAGGGGACAAGCGUUGUCCGGAUUUACUGGGCGUAAAGGGCACGCAGGCGGUUUUUUAAGUCAGAUGUGAAAGGUACCGGCUCAACCGGUGACAUGCAUUUGAAACUGAAAGACUUGAGUAUUGGAGAGGCAAGUGGAAUUCCUAGUGUAGCGGUGAAAUGCGUAGAUAUUAGGAGGAACACCGGUGGCGAAGGCGGCUUGCUGGACAAAUACUGACGCUGAGGUGCGAAAGCGUGGGGAGCAAACAGGAUUAGAAACCCCCGUAGUCC
rnacentral:rRNA from 1 species